GCCAGAGGCCGGCGGCGGUGACAGGAAGCAGGGACCCUGCCGGACUGCCGCCGCGGUCACCGCGGGACGGGCCGCGAACGGACUGGCACAGGGGGCCUCCCGGGCGCGCACCUGGAGGUGUGAGUUCUGGGAAACGAUGACUGCGCGAGGCGACCGACGACCCAAGGCCAGCGGGGUGACGGGCAGGGCGUUCCGAGAAGCCGGCGCACCGGGGAACGCGCGGCACCGAGGCGGCAGCCGGGUCAGGGUGCGGGAGCGCGGGGCGAGGCCCUGGAGCAGGGCAAUGCGCACCCACCGCUAAGCGGGGAAGAGAAGCCCGUUUGCAGGAGGCUGCUGCUGAGUUUCCGUCCCUGAGCUGGGCUGAGCGCUUGGGAUCAAACCGGCAACCACGGUGCAUUGGAACGACGCUUUAACCAACUGAGCAGUCUGGCCAGGGCAAGGAAGUAUUUCUUUAAAAGAUACGUUUGGCGUUUAAAGGAAAGAUAUUAGGAACUCGGCAAGGAGAUUGGACAUGGAUCUUUGAAGGAUGGCUGGGACUGCGGCAAGCAGAGACAGGCCAGUUGAGGAGGCUGCCCGAGGCGGAAGGAAUGGAGCAAUCAAGGGCACAGAAAGAGAAACGGAUGGAGUGUUCUGGGAACACCAAGAAGUCAAUUUGGAUGGAGCACAGGGAAAAGACUUCUAGCGUGAGAUACAGAUUGGACUUUGAACAAAACUAGACUACCACCUGCAAACCAGAGACAACUUUUUGUUUGAAUGGAGUCGCCAACUAAAAUAAAAGUGAGAAUCAUGUGCCUUGAUUGUGACAGUACCUGCCAUCAUUGGAGUGUUAUGGGAACAAUCGCCUGUGGCUGAACCCAAGCAGAAGAUGAAGGGCGAGCAAGCUCAGGUGAUGCUGCCCUUCAAGGUCAACCCUGGAGAAGGGUGGAGAGUGGAUCUGGAGGAACACAGGCAGAAAUGUG